rnacentral:rRNA from 1 species
GACGAACGCUGGCGGCGUGCUUAACACAUGCAAGUCGAACGGAAAGGCCCUGCUUUUGUGGGGUGCUCGAGUGGCGAACGGGUGAGUAACACGUGAGUAACCUGCCCUUGACUUUGGGAUAACUUCAGGAAACUGGGGCUAAUACCGGAUAGGAGCUCCUGCUGCAUGGUGGGGGUUGGAAAGUUUCGGCGGGUGGGGAUGGACGCGCGGCUUAUCAGCUUGUUGGUGGGGUAGUGGCUUACCAAGGCUUUGACGGGUAGCCGGCCUGAGAGGGUGACCGGCCACCUUGGGCCUGCGGUACGGCCCAGACUCCUACGUGAGGCAGCAGUGGGGAAUAUUGCACAGUGGGCCGAAGCCUGAUGCAGCAACGCCGCGUGCGGGAUGACGGCCUUCGGGUUGUAAACCGCUUUCGCCUGUGACGAAGCGUGAGUGACGGUAAUGGGUAAAGAAGCACCGGCUAACUACGUG